rnacentral:tRNA from 3 species
CGGAAUUUAGCUCAGUUUGGUAGAGUGUACGCUUUGGGAGCGUAUUGUCGCAGGUUCGAAUCCUGCAAUUCCGACCA